ensembl:lncRNA
CUGUUCUCAAAUUCAUAAAGAAGAAAAUAUGUUAGAGAUUGUAACAUAAUUUGAAUGUCUGAAAUAUGCAUCAUUAAAAGAAGAAUUGUAAUGAUAGCUUAUUUGUAUGACUGUCAUUGAAACACUGAAAAAGUAUUCUGAUAUUGAAUGUUUUAAGUUGAUUCUUUCAAAUGUCAUUUUUGAACAGAUAACAACUAAAUGUGUAUGCUGAGAUACGUCCAUAUGCCUCUGUUUUUUCUAUUUGAAAUAUUAAUGGUUACUAUUCCUAAGGAGGGGUUUUUUUUCCGACAUAAUAGAAUUAAACAAUGCUUAUUCCGUAGUGUUAAUUGGUGAUAUUUUAGCAUUCUUUUUGAAACUUUUGCACAUGUGUAAGUUCAGUACUAAAACAUAUGUUGCUAUAUGACAAUGUAAAAGUGCAGAUGUGAAUUAUGGAAUAGAAAGUUGUCUGGAAAAUCAUAGCGAAAAUUUAACAUUACUAUAUAAACAUACCAGGAAAAAAGGGACAGCUGCUAUUUACUGCCUUUAAAAUUUUAUAUGUAUUUCGAAAGCAACAUCAAACAACCGAAGGAACUUAAAAGAUACAGCCAAUUUGUACUUGUCUUCAUUGUUACCUGUUGACAUUUUUGGAGUGUUGGGCUGUUGUAUCCAGCUUUGUAUUCCCAGUGACUGUUACGCAUAGUUUUUGAGUGAUCAUGAAGAGCGUGUGACCUAGAUACUAGUGCGGCAGAGAGUUUUAAACAGUGAAUUAAAGAAUAUUUGAUUACUCUCGGAAAGAAGGGAGAAGAUGGGAUUUCAGGUAAAUGAAAGGUGAAAGAAAAACAUAACAUGCAGAUAAUCUGAGGAUAUCUGAGAUCAUCAGGAACAUUCUUCCAGUGGAGUUCCUUGAUUUAUAAAUCUCAACUGUAAACCACAAGUAAGACAGUUCUGGAUCAAGAAACGCUGUAUUAGGACAAGAUUUUGGCUAGGCUCAAGAAAAUAACACUGGUGCAGACUUUGUUCUUGUACAGCUUGGAAUUAGCAGAUAUUCCUGAGAAUCAAAAGCCAUGUAGAUUACAUGAUAUCAUGAGUGAGUGAUCUGGUGGAGAUGGAAGAGUAAUAAAGAGACAUAGACAAUGUGAGGAGAAAGUUCAAAGGAUCAGUUCAUAAGAUACAAGAAGCAAGAUAUAAGAAUACCAAUACCUGGUUUUCUCAUUGUUAAAAGAAUUCCAAAUGUGUCCUCUCAAGUGAUGACUACAUAGGAAAACUGAUACCAUUGAUUCUGCCACCAUCUUCCAUAAAACCAAAAAAUAGUCUUCAUAAUGUAUGGCAACUCCUCAUUAUUGUAUUGCAACAGACACUCCCUGUAGAUCAGAAAAACAGGCUGAGAAGGCUCAAAUUUAAAGGGUGAUAUUGGAGAGAAUUGUAACCAGGCAUGUGGACUGUUUUCAUUGUUGCUAUUGGACUGAAUCUCAGGAGCUUGAAUGAUGGAGACAGUGUUAUGCCCAGGACCUUGUAAUGUCAAAGCUUCGUUUCAUUGCACCCAAAAGUAUUAUUGCAUAUAUUUAAAAUUUUCAUUUAUCACAGGGAAAUUUAAAAUUGAUUCAUAAAAAAUCACAAUUUUCAAGAUUUCAAAGGAUAUGGAAAAUUUUAAAUGUAACAUUUUACUUCUUAUAUGCUGUUUUUCCUCCUCUGAUUCUGCCACCUCUGUCUAUGUUAUCUACUUAUUGAUGAAAUUUUGGGCAUAUCUUAUGGGUUUAUUGAUCAGUUAACACUCAUGGCAUUUUGGGGGAUCUGUAUAUACUAGCCACAGAUUUUUCUAUGCAGUAAGCAUUGUUUAUAUAUGAAUUGUAAAUUUAUCCAACUAAUUUGUUGAAAUAAUUCCAAUGAAACUAUGAAGACUAAGGAUACCCAAAAUUUACAGUUUCAAGUCCAAAGUAAAAUAGAUUUUCCUCUAUUAUAUAGACAGGAUUUCAUCAAUCUUAUCUACAAGUGUUUAUAUAGAUAUAGUUCCUAAAACUGUAUAAAUGUUACAUUUUUAUUCUUUGGCAAUAUGAUGUUACAAAGAAAUUGCCUUUUCUUCAGCCUGUCAUUUUCAUAGAUGCUUAGUCCUUACCAGUCUCUUGCAUUAUUUCAUUUUUCUCUUUUUUUUUUUCCUUUUCAUUUUCCUUGGUAUAUCAGUGUCUUAGUGUAGUACAAAUGAAAUACCAUAUUUUAUUGCUG